AUUUCACCCGGGCCCAUUACAAACAAAUAAAAUACAUACACCCAAACCUCAACCCACCUAAACACUAACCCAACACCCAUGACCCAAACAUCAGCCCAAUAAUAUAAAAAACCCUAAUAGCCCAAAAUGGCCCAAACCUAAACUAUUUUCAGCAAAAAAAGGGGAAAAGAAACCCUAGCCGCCGCUCCUUCUAGCCUCUGCCACCACCUACUUUUCAGCCACCAACUCUGCCACCGUACGGCCUCCUUACUUCCCACUGCUACCGCCCCACUUGCACCUGCUCAUCAAUCACCCUGCAAAACAGAGCAAACACGCAAAGUAGAAGCAAAACAGUAGCAAACAAGAUAUAAUAUUGUAUCAAUCUUGGCUAUAAAAGCCACUUCAAUUUCUUUGUAUUGCUUCUUCUUUUCGGAAACGAAAAAUCGAAUAAAAAAUAGAGAAAAAGUUGAUACAGAUUUAAAAGGUUUUUCUUUCUUCUACUCAUUUAUUGAUUUUUUUUUUGGCUGUUUACUUUUCUUUUUUUUUCUUUAUUGCGUCUCAAAAAAAGAAGAGAAUCAAUAUAAAAUCAAAAGGAGAGAGUCCGGAUCUUACCUUUUCGGGAGUUUAAGCCGUCGUGGGGGGGCCGAGGUUGUCAUCUCCGAUGAAAGAUGGCAUUUUUGAGUCGGGGAAGUCGAGAAGCCAAAAAAAAAUGGCCUUUCUAUUUUUUCGGCCACCGUGUACGGCGGCGCCGUCGACGGUGACCGACGGCCGGACUCCGGGCCGGAAGAGGAGAGGAGCUAGAGAGAAAAU
rnacentral:lncRNA from 1 species